UACGUAGGGCGCAAGCGUUAUCCGGAAUUAUUGGGCGUAAAGAGCUCGUAGGCGGUGUGUCGCGUCGGCCGUGAAAACCUGCAGCUUAACUGUGGGCUUGCGGUCGAUACGGGCAUCACUGGAGUUCGGCAGGGGAGACUGGAAUUCCUGGUGUAGCGGUGAAAUGCGCAGAUAUCAGGAGGAACACCGGUGGCGAAGGCGGGUCUCUGGGCCGAUACUGACGCUGAGGAGCGAAAGCGUGGGUAGCAAACAGG
rnacentral:rRNA from 1 species